rnacentral:rRNA from 1 species
GCUUGCUCUGUGGGAUCAGUGGCGAACGGGUGAGUAACACGUGAGCAACCUGCCCCUGACUCUGGGAUAAGCGCUGGAAACGGCGUCUAAUACUGGAUAUGUGACGUGACCGCAUGGUCUGCGUUUGGAAAGAUUUUUCGGUUGGGGAUGGGCUCGCGGCCUAUCAGCUUGUUGGUGAGGUAAUGGCUCACCAAGGCGUCGACGGGUAGCCGGCCUGAGAGGGUGACCGGCCACACUGGGACUGAGACACGGCCCAGACUCCUACGGGAGGCAGCAGUGGGGAAUAUUGCACAAUGGGCGGAAGCCUGAUGCAGCAACGCCGCGUGAGGGAUGACGGCCUUCGGGUUGUAAACCUCUUUUAGCAGGGAAGAAGCGAAAGUGACGGUACCUGCAGAAAAAGCGCCGGCUAACUACGUGCCAGCAGCCGCGGUAAUACGUAGGGCGCAAGCGUUAUCCGGAAUUAUUGGGCGUAAAGAGCUCGUAGGCGGUUUGUCGCGUCUGCUGUGAAAUCCCGAGGCUCAACCUCGGGCCUGCAGUGGGUACGGGCAGACUAGAGUGCGGUAGGGGAGAUUGGAAUUCCUGGUGUAGCGGUGGAAUGCGCAGAUAUCAGGAGGAACACCGAUGGCGAAGGCAGAUCUCUGGGCCGUAACUGACGCUGAGGAGCGAAAGGGUGGGGAGCAAACAGGCUUAGAUACCCUGGUAGUCCACCCCGUAAACGUUGGGAAC